rnacentral:rRNA from 1 species
CCUACGGGUGGCAGCAGUGGGGAAUAUUGCACAAUGGGGGAAAGCCUGAUGCAGCGACGCCGCGUGAGUGAUGAAGGAUUUCGGUACGUAAAGCUCUGUCAGCAAGGAAGAUAAUGACGGUACUUGAGGAGGAAGCCCCGGCUAACUACGUGCCAGCAGCCGCGGUAAUACGUAGGGGGCUAGCGUUAUCCGGAUUUACUGGGCGUAAAGGGUGCGUAAGUGGUGGCCUAAGUCAGAGGUGAAAGGCUACGGCUAAACCCUGGUAAGCCUUUGAAACUGGGGAACUUGAGUGCAGGAGAGGUAAGUGGAAGUCCUAGUGUAGCGGUGAAAUGCGUAGAUAUUAGGAGGAACACCAGUGGCGAAGGCGGCUUUCUGGACUGUAACUGACGCUGAGGCACGAAAGCGUGGGGAGCAAACAGGAUUAGAUACCCUAGUAGUC